rnacentral:misc_RNA from 1 species
UGGCUCUCGCAUCGAUGAAGAACGCAGCGAAAUGCGAUAAGUAAUGUGAAUUGCAGAAUUCAGUGAAUCAUCGAAUCUUUGAACGCACCUUGCGCUCUUUGGCUAUUCCGAAGAGCAUGCCUGUUUGAGUAUCAUGAACACCUCAACUCUCAUGGUUCGCCAUGAUGAGCUUGGACUCUGGGGGUCUUGCCGGCCUAUGGUCGGCUCCUCCCAAAUGUAUCAGCUUGCCAGUGUUUGGCGGCGUCGCAGGUGUGAUAACUAUCUACGCUUGUCGUUGUCCGUCAGAUAACCGCCGGUCACGGUGGUUCGCUGGAGCUCAUAAACGUCUCUCUUCAGCGAGGACAACUUUGUGAAUGUUUGAUCUCAAAUCAGGUAGGACUACCCGCUGA